CACCGCCCGUCGCUACUACCGAUUGAAUGGCUCAGUGAGGCUUCCGGACUGGCCUAGAGAGGUCGGCAACGACCACUCAGGGCCGGAAAGCUAUCCAAACUCGGUCAUUUAGAGGAAGUAAAAGUCGUAACAAGGUCUCCGUUGGUGAACCAGCGGAGG
rnacentral:ncRNA from 1 species